rnacentral:rRNA from 1 species
AUUGAACGCUGGCGGCAGGCCUAACACAUGCAAGUCGGACGGUAGCACAGGGGAGCUUGCUCCUCGGGUGACGAGUGGCGGACGGGUGAGUAAUGUCUGGGGAUCUGCCCGAUAGAGGGGGAUAACCACUGGAAACGGUGGCUAAUACCGCAUAAUGUCGCAAGACCAAAGAGGGGGACCUUCGGGCCUCUCACUAUCGGAUGAACCCAGAUGGGAAUAGCUAGUAGGCGGGGUAACGGCCCACCUAGGCGACGAUCACUAGCUGGUCUGAGAGGAUGACCAGCCACACUGGAACUGAGACACGGUCCAGACUCCUACGGGAGGCAGCAGUGGGGAAUAUUGCACAAUGGGCGCAAGCCUGAUGCAGCCAUGCCGCGUGUAUGAAGAAGGCCUUCGGGUUGUAAAGUACUUUCAGCGGGGAGGAAGGCGAUGUGGUUAAUAACCGCGUCGAUUGACGUUACCCACAGAAGAAGCACCGGCUAACUCCGUGCCAGCAGCCGCAGUAA